GACGAACGCUGGCGGCGUGCCUAAUACAUGCAAGUAGAACGCACAGUUUAUACCGUAGCUUGCUACACCAUAGACUGUGAGUUGCGAACGGGUGAGUAACGCGUAGGUAACCUGCCUGGUAGCGGGGGAUAACUAUUGGAAACGAUAGCUAAUACCGCAUAAUAUUAAUUAUUGCAUGAUAAUUAAUUGAAAGGUGCAAUUGCACCACUACCAGGUGGACCUGCGCUGUAUUAGCUAGUAGGUGAGGUAACGGCUCACCUAGGCGACGAUACAUAGCCGACCUGAGAGGGUGAUCGGCCACACUGGGACUGAGACACGGCCCAGACUCCUACGGGAGGCAGCAGUAGGGAAUCUUCGGCAAUGGACGAAAGUCUGACCGAGCAACGCCGCGUGAGUGAAGAAGGUUUUCGGAUCGUAAAGCUCUGUUGUAAGAGAAGAACGGGUGUGAGAGUGGAAAGUUCACACUGUGACGGUAUCUUACCAGAAAGGGACGGCUAACUACGUG
rnacentral:rRNA from 1 species